CGCUGGCGGCGUGCCUAAUACAUGCAAGUCGAACGCACUCUCGUUUAGAUUGAAGGAGCUUGCUCCUGAUUGAUAAACACUUGAGUGAGUGGCGGACGGGUGAGUAACACGUGGGUAACCAGCCCUAAAGUGGGGGAUAACAUUUGGAAACAGAUGCUAAUACCGCAUAAAACCCAACACCGCAUGGUGUAGGGUUGAAAGAUGGUUUCGGCUAUCACUUUAGGAUGGACCCGCGGUGCAUUAGUUAGUUGGUGAGGUAAAGGCUCACCAAGACCGUGAUGCAUAGCCGACCUGAGAGGGUAAUCGGCCACACUGGGACUGAGACACGGCCCAGACUCCUACGGGAGGCAGCAGUAGGGAAUCUUCCACAAUGGACGAAAGUCUGAUGGAGCAACGCCGCGUGAGUGAAGAAGGUUUUCGGAUCGUAAAACUCUGUUGUUGGAGAAGAAUGUAUCCGAUAGUAACUGAUCAGGUAGUGACGGUAUCCAACCAGAAAGCCACGGCUAACUACGUG
rnacentral:rRNA from 1 species